GAGUUUGAUCCUGGCUCAGGACGAACGCUGGCGGCGCGCCUAACACAUGCAAGUCGAACGGAGAUCACUUAGUAGAAGUUUUCGGAUGGACACCGAGUGAUCUUAGUGGCGAACGGGUGAGUAACGCGUGAGCAAUCUGCCUCAGAGUGGGGGACAACAGUUGGAAACGACUGCUAAUACCGCAUAAGCCCACAGCACCGCAUGGUGCAGGGGGAAAAGAUUUAUUGCUUUGAGAUGAGCUCGCGUCCAAUUAGCUGGUUGGUGAGGUAACGGCCCACCAAGGCGACGAUUGGUAGCCGGACUGAGAGGUUGAACGGCCACAUUGGGACUGAGAUACGGCCCAGACUCCUACGGGAGGCAGCAGUGGGGAAUAUUGCACAAUGGGGGGAACCCUGAUGCAGCGACGCCGCGUGGAGGAAGAAGGUCUUCGGAUUGUAAACUCCUGUUGUUAGGGACGAUAAUGACGGUACCUAACAAGGAAGCACCGGCUAACUACGUGCCAGCAGCCGCGGUAAAACGUAGGGUGCAAGCGUUGUCCGGAAUUACUGGGUGUAAAGGGAGCGCAGGCGGGCAUGCAAGUUGGAAGUGAAAACUAUGGGCUCAACCCAUAGCCUGCUUUCAAAACUGCGUGUCUUGAGUAGUGCAGAGGUAGGCGGAAUUCCCCGGUGUAGCGGUGGAAUGCGUAGAUAUCGGGAGGAACACCAGUGGCGAAGGCGGCCUACUGGGCACCAACUGACGCUGAGGCUCGAAAGCAUGGGUAGCAAACAGGAUUAGAUACCCUGGUAGUCCAUGCCGUAAACGAUGAUUACUAGGUGUUGGAGGAUUGACCCCUUCAGUGCCGCAGUUAACACAAUAAGUAAUCCACCUGGGGAGUACGACCGCAAGGUUGAAACUCAAAGGAAUUGACGGGGGCCCGCACAAGCAGUGGAGUAUGUGGUUUAAUUCGAAGCAACGCGAAGAACCUUACCAGGUCUUGACAUCCGAUGCAUAGUGCAGAGAUGCAUGAAGUCCUACGGGACAUCGAGACAGGUGGUGCAUGGUUGUCGUCAGCUCGUGUCGUGAGAUGUUGGGUUAAGUCCCGCAACGAGCGCAACCCUUAUCGUCAGUUACUACGCAAGAGGACUCUGGCGAGACUGCCGUUGACAAAACGGAGGAAGGUGGGGAUGACGUCAAAUCAUCAUGCCCCUUAUGACCUGGGCUACACACGUACUACAAUGGCGUUAAACAAAGAGAAGCGAGACCGCGAGGUGGAGCAAAACUCAUAAACAACGUCCCAGUUCAGAUUGCAGGCUGCAACUCGCCUGCAUGAAGUCGGAAUUGCUAGUAAUCGCAGAUCAGCAUGCUGCGGUGAAUACGUUCCCGGGCCUUGUACACAC
rnacentral:rRNA from 1 species